GUGCCAGCCGCCGCGUAAUUCCAGCUCCGAUAGCGUAUAUUAGAGUUGUUGUGGGUAAAAAGCUCGUAGUUGAACCUUGGGCCUGGAUGGGCGGUCCGCCUCACCGCGUAGCUGGUCCGGCCGGGCCUUUCCCUCUGUGGAACCCCAUACCCUUCACUGGGCGUGGCGGGGAAACAGGACAUUUACUUUGAAAAAAUUAGAGUGCUCCAGGCAGGCCUAUGCUCGAAUACAUUAGCAUGGAAUAAUAAAAUAGGACGCGCGGCUCUAUUUUGUUGAUUUAUAGGACCGCCGUAAUGAUUAAUAGGGACAGUCGGGGGCAUCAGCAUUCAACUGUCAGAGGUGAAAUUCUUGGAUCAGUUGAAGACUAACUACUGCGAAAGCAUUUGCCAAGGAUGUUUUCAUUAAUCAGGAACGAAAGUUAGGGGAUCGAAGACGAUCAGAUACCGUCGUAGUCUUAACCAUAAACUAUGCCGACUAGGUAUCGAACGGAGUUAUUCAUGACCCGAGCGGCACCUGACGAGAAAUCAAAGUGCUUGGGCUCCAGGCGGAGGAUCGUCGCGAGGCUGAAACUGAUAGAAAUUGACGCAAGGGCACCACCAGGCCUGUGCCUGAUCGAUAAUUUGACUCAACACGGAGAAACUCACCAGGUCCAGACACAAUAAAGAUUGACAGAUUGAGAGCUCUUUCUUGAUUUUGUGGAUGGGGUGCAUGGCUGUUCUUAGGUGGUGGACAGACUUGACUGCUUAAGUGCAAUAACCAAAGAGACUUAAGCUGCUAAAUAGCCCGCAUUGCUCUGCAGUGCGCUGCAUUCAUAACAGGAACUUUAGUAUCAAGACGAAAGAAUUUGAGGGCGAAAACAGUGUCUGUGGAUGUCCUUAAGACGGUUCUUGUGACGGGAGCGAGUGCUUUUAAAUGUACUG
rnacentral:rRNA from 1 species